rnacentral:lncRNA from 1 species
GACUCUCUGUUUGCUUUGCUCUCGCUGAUGCCUAAAUUUGAUGACAUGUUUUCUACUGUUUCGUUCUGUUGCCACAAGUUUGUGGGCUACAGGUCAGCGGGUUAUUGGGAUCCCCACCGGGCUGGUCUAGGGUUGGCAAAAUCCGGAUCCAGAUCCGCAUUUACAUGUAUGCAUCCGGAUCCGCAAAAAAACAUACGGAUCCGGAUGAGGGUAAUAUCCGCAACGGAUGCGGCGGAUAUUCCGGAUAUCCAGAUCCUUAAAAUUAAAAUUUAAUAAUUUAAUAUAUAAUUUAAAAAUCCAACCAUAAUGCAGUAAUUAACAAUUCAACAAGAAAAUUAAUGCAUUUAAUUGGAGAAAUUAAAUUAAAAUGAGUUAACAUAUGUGGAAAAAAAAAAGAGAUUAAGCAUUUUACAUUAUAUUGAAAUUUAAUGUAUUUAAUUAGAGUAAUUAAAUAAAUCAGCAAAGAAAAUUAAUAAAAAUCAAAUUAAAUUGAAUCAACAAGAAAUUAAAUUAAGCUAACAACAUUUUGAAGUUUAAACAAGUUUACAUUAGAUUAAACUCAUUAAAUACAAUCAAUUAACCACAAUACCAAAUUAUUAACCAGAGAAAGGAAAAACUCAUGUAAUUAAUGAAAAUGGUAUUAUUGACCAGAGAAAGGAAAAACCCAUGUAAUUAAUAAAAAGAAAAGAAAAUUAACAGAAACAAAGAGCAAAUUACAGGCACGAAUGAUCCAAUCAGGCGAGGUUUGGACGAUGGUGACGUGGGUGACGCGUGCAGCAACAGCGGUGUGGCGAGCUUCAACGACGGCAAGGCUUGCAGUGUGCAGCGACAGCAACGUGCUCAGGGGAGGCGACGACGGCAAGGCUUGCAGUGUGCAGCGAUAGCAACGUGCUCAGGCGAGGCUGCGACGCGAGGCUCAGGCGAGGCUGCAAGGAAGACGGCGACCGGUCGACGGCGUUACAAGCCCUUCAGAUUUGGCCGGCGUUAGAGAUUUGAAGGUUGCGGCUGCUGGUGAGUGGUGAGGUACCGUGAGGCUUGACUCUUGAGAGUGUGUGAAACUGGAUGCGAUAUUGU